rnacentral:rRNA from 1 species
AGCUCCAAUAGCGUAUAUUAAAGUUGUUGCAGUUAAAAAGCUCGUAGUUGGAUCUCGGGUGGCGGCCGGUGGUUCGGGUCUGCGCCCGCCUACCACCGGCUGCACCCAACCGGCGGGACGUGCUGGGUGCCCUUGACUGGGUCGCCCGGUGCACCCGCCCAGUUUACUUUGAAAAAAUUAGAGUGUUCAAGGCAGGCUGUGACGCCUGGAUAGCGGCGCAUGGAAUGAUGGAACAGGACCUCGGCUCUAUUUUGUUGGUUUUCGGAAGUCGAGGUAAUGAUUGAGAGGGACAGACGGGGGCAUUCGUACUGCAGUGUUAGAGGUGAAAUUCUUGGAUCGCUGCAAGACGAACUACUGCGAAAGCAUUUGCCAAGAAUGUUUUCG